rnacentral:pre_miRNA from 1 species
CUACAUCUACCCUGUAGAUCCGAAUUUGUAAGACAAUGAGAACAAAUUCGGUUCUAGAGAGGUUCGUGUGGU